rnacentral:rRNA from 1 species
UACGUAGGGUGCAAGCGUUAAUCGGAAUUACUGGGCGUAAAGCGUGCGCAGGCGGUUUCGUAAGUCUGUCGUGAAAUCCCCGGGCUUAACCUGGGAAUGGCGAUGGAGACUGCGAGGCUAGAGUUUGGCAGAGGGGGGUAGAAUUCCACGUGUAGCAGUGAAAUGCGUAGAGAUGUGGAGGAACACCGAUGGCGAACGGCAGCCCCCUGGGUCAAAACUGACGCUCAUGCACGAAAGCGUGGGGAGCAAACAGG